rnacentral:rRNA from 1 species
GACGAAGGAUGCAAGCGUUAUCCGGAUUCAUUGGGUUUAAAGGGGAGCGUAGGUGGCCUUAUAAGUCAGUGGUGAAAUCUCUGGGCUUAACCCAGAAAUUGCCAUUGAUACUGUAGGGCUUGAGUAUAGUUGCCGUUGGCGGAAUAUGACAUGUAGUGGUGAAAUACAUAGAGAUGUCAUAGAACACCGAUUGCGAAGGCAGCUAACGAAACUAUAACUGACACUGAGGCUCGAAAGUGCGGGGAUCAAACAGG